UCCUCCUCCCUUCACCCUGCAGGGAAGCACUGCUUAUGGUGGAUCACCUCAAGAUGCCGCAAGUCCAUUUGCCCCUGGGUAUGAAUCCUCUUAUGGAAGAGUGUCACUGUCCUCACCCCAAGCUGGUCCAUCUACUACUGUUCAGGGUUCACGGAAGCAG